rnacentral:rRNA from 1 species
UUAGGACUGAGAUACGGCCCAGACUCCUACGGGAGGCAGCAGUCGGGAAUAUUGCGCAAUGGAGGAAACUCUGACGCAGUGACGCCGCGUAUAGGAAGAAGGUUUUCGGAUUGUAAACUAUUUUAGACAGGGAAGAAAUUGACAGUACCUGUAGAAUAAGCUCCGGCUAACUACGUGCCAGCAGCCGCGGUAAUACGUAGGGAGCAAGCGUUAUCCGGAUUUAUUGGGUGUAAAGGGUGCGUAGACGGGAGAACAAGUUAGUUGUGAAAGCCCUCGGCUUAACUGAGGAACUGCAACUAAAACUAUUUUUCUUGAGUGCAGGAGAGGAAAGCGGAAUUCCUAGUGUAGCGGUGAAAUGCGUAGAUAUUAGGAGGAACACCAGUGGCGAAGGCGGCUUUCUGGACUGUAACUGACGUUGAGGCACGAAAGUGUGGGGAGCAAACAGGAUUAGAUACCCUGGUAGUCCACACCGUAAACGAUGGAUACUAGGUGUAGGAGAUGAUUUCAUCAUCUGUGCCGAAAGCAAACGCAAUAAGUAU